GCGUUGCUCGGAAUUACUGGGCGUAAAGGGCGCGUAGGCGGACAGUUUAGUCAGAGGUAAAAGCCCAGGGCUCAACCUUGGAACUGCCUUUGAUACUGGCUGUCUUGAGUUCGGGAGAGGUGAGUGGAAUGCCGAGUGUAGAGGUGAAAUUCGUAGAUAUUCGGCGGAACACCAGUGGCGAAGGCGACUCACUGGCCCGAUACUGACGCUGAGGCGCGAAAGCGUG
rnacentral:rRNA from 1 species